UACGUAGGGUGCGAGCGUUAAUCGGAAUUACUGGGCGUAAAGCGUGCGCAGGCGGUUCUGCAAGUCAGAUGUGAAAUCCCCCGGGCUUAACCUGGGAACUGCGUUUGAAACUACGGAGCUAGAGUGCGGCAGAGGGGGGUGGAAUUCCACGUGUAGCAGUGAAAUGCGUAGAUAUGUGGAGGAACACCGAUGGCGAAGGCAGCCCCCUGGGCCGACACUGACGCUCAGGCACGAAAGCGUGGGGAGCAAACAGG
rnacentral:rRNA from 1 species